rnacentral:rRNA from 1 species
AGAGUUUGAUCCUGGCUCAGGACGAACGCUGGCGGCGUGCUUAACACAUGCAAGUCGAACGGAAAGGCCCUUUCGGGGGUGCUCGAGUGGCGAACGGGUGAGUAACACGUGGGUGAUCUGCUGCACUUCGGGAUAAGCUUGGGAAACUGGGUCUAAUACCGGAUAGGACUACGGGACGCAUGUUUUGUGGUGGAAAGCUA